rnacentral:rRNA from 1 species
UACGUAGGGGGCAAGCGUUGUCCGGAAUCAUUGGGCGUAAAGGGCUCGUAGGUGGCCAACUAAGUCGGACGUGAAAUCCCUCGGCUUAACCGGGGAACUGCGUCCGAUACUGGAUGGCUUGAGUUUGGGAGAGGGAUGCGGAAUUCCAGGUGUAGCGGUGAAAUGCGUAGAUAUCUGGAGGAACACCGGUGGCGAAGGCGGCAUCCUGGACCAACACUGACACUGAGGAGCGAAAGCCAGGGGAGCAAACAGG